UGGGGAAUUUUGGACAAUGGGCGAAAGCCUGAUCCAGCAAUGCCGCGUGUGUGAAGAAGGCCUUCGGGUUGUAAAGCACUUUUGUCCGGAAAGAAAUCCUUGGCUCUAAUACAGUCGGGGGAUGACGGUACCGGAAGAAUAAGCACCGGCUAACUACGUGCCAGCAGCCGCGGUAAUACGUAGGGUGCAAGCGUUAAUCGGAAUUACUGGGCGUAAAGCGUGCGCAGGCGGUUUGCUAAGACCGAUGUGAAAUCCCCGGGCUCAACCUGGGAACUGCAUUGGUGACUGGCAGGCUAGAGUAUGGCAGAGGGGGGUAGAAUUCCACGUNUAGCAGUGAAAUGCGUAGAGAUGUGGAGGAAUACCGAUGGCGAAGGCAGCCCCCUGGGCAAAUACUGACGCUCAUGCACGAAAAGCGUGGGGAGCAAACAGGAUUAGAUACCCUGGUAGUCCACGCCCUAAAACGAUGUCAACUAGUUGUUGGGGAUUCAUUUCCUUAGUAACGUAGCUAACGCGUGAAGUUGACCGCCUGGGGAGUACGGUCGCAAGAUUAAAACUCAAAUGAAUUGACGGGGUCAUAGCUG
rnacentral:rRNA from 1 species